rnacentral:rRNA from 1 species
UACGGAGGGUGCAAGCGUUAUCCGGAUUCACUGGGUUUAAAGGGUGCGUAGGUGGGCAGGUAAGUCAGUGGUGAAAUCUCCGGGCUUAACUCCGAAACUGCAUUUGAUACUGCGGUGCUUGAGGACUGGAGAGGAGACUGGAAUUUACGGUGUAGCAGUGAAAUGCGUAGAGAUCGUAAGGAAGACCAGUGGCGAAGGCGGGUCUCUGGACAGUUCCUGACACUGAGGCACGAAGUCCAGGGGAGCAAACGGG